rnacentral:tRNA from 1 species
GCACCCGUAGCUCAACUGGAUAGAGCACCUGACUACGAAUCAGGAGGCUAGAGGUUCAAGUCCUUUCGGGUGCA